rnacentral:rRNA from 1 species
AUACAGAGGGUGCAAGCGUUAAUCGGAAUUACUGGGCGUAAAGAGUACGUAGGCGGUUUGGUAAGUCAGAUGUGAAAGCCCUGAGCUCAACUUGGGAACUGCAUUUGAAACUGCCUGACUAGAGUGUGAUAGAGGAUAGUGGAAUUUCCGGUGUAGCGGUGAAAUGCGUAGAGAUCGGAAGGAACACCAGUGGCGAAGGCGGCUAUCUGGAUCAACACUGACGCUGAGGUACGAAAGCGUGGGGAGCAAUCAGGAUUAGAAACCCCGGUAGUCC